UACGUAGGGCGCAAGCGUUGUCCGGAAUUAUUGGGCGUAAAGAGCUCGUAGGCGGUUUGUCGCGUCUGCUGUGAAAGCCCGGGGCUUAACCCCGGGUGUGCAGUGGGUACGGGCAGACUAGAGUGCAGUAGGGGAGACUGGAAUUCCUGGUGUAGCGGUGGAAUGCGCAGAUAUCAGGAGGAACACCGAUGGCGAAGGCAGGUCUCUGGGCUGUUACUGACGCUGAGGAGCGAAAGCAUGGGGAGCGAACAG
rnacentral:rRNA from 1 species